rnacentral:lncRNA from 1 species
GAGGAAGGAACGCGCCUGGCGUCACUGAGGGUGUCACCCGGGACCGCGGCUCAGGAACCCCAGACGCACGGGCCUUGUGCUGUCGCUGCCGUGGCACCCCUUCUAGAAGUCGUGAAGGGGCCUCGUGACUGGGCCUCAUGCCAAACAACUCAUUACAAAAGGAGCUAUGGUCCCAGACCACAACGAAGCUUCAUGAGACCUCUCCUCAUCUGUGCACGGACAAGUGUCUGACUCUGGAGCCCAGGCUGUUGCUUUCCAGUCUGGUGGUGAAUCCUUCACAGUCUGGAUUGAGAUGUUGGAAGCUUUAGAAUGUUGAUUAUGAUGAUACCCAAGACUCAAGUUUAAGAAGGAAAGGAAGCAAUAAGAUCAUGCCUGCUAUUAGUAUAGUCGUCACAGUUAUUGUGUAAAGAAAAUCUAGGUAUCUUGCACCAAGAAGUGGAAAAUAAAGAAGAGAAAUGAGAACCAUGUUUGUAUUGGCUGUCUAUAAAAUAAGAGUUCUAGGUACAUGAAAUCCACUGGUGUGCUGGUAAAUGUUUAAUAACCAGUCCUCUGGAAAGGAGAAAGUUGAAGACCCCAUUUAUACAUUUGCUCAUUUCUGUGGUGUAAAUACCCUGAAAAUAGCUGAUUUCGAGCUAUCAACAUUACUGAAGAUGGAGCUGGGAAGAGGGAGAAGUUAAGUGAAGUUUUCCAACCCACAGCUGUUUUGGCUGAGGCUCCAAAGACUGAGAAUAAAUCAGUAUCUGCCCAGUCACCACGGUGUGCCAAAGGAGGUGCUGGAUUGCCUCGUCAGGACAUGCUACAUGG